rnacentral:lncRNA from 1 species
GGGGAGAAGCAUGCCAAACCAGAAAAGGGUCAUCUGAUGAUAAAGUCUCAAAAGGAGUCAGCUGAGAAUACCUAGGGAGCCUCUUCAGCUUUUCCCC